AUCAAGCCAUUUCAAAAAUGGAAUUGGAAUCAUAUCUGACAAAACAAAUUGCCCGGCAUAGUGUACAAGUGCCUUAAAAACUUUCUGGAAUUGAGCAUCUUUAUUUGUGCCAACCUCAGUUUCACUGUAUCUCAUCCCAGAAACUUUCUUCACAAUAAGAUUCAAUGUGAAUUUCUCGAACAGCUUCCUCAAUUCCACUUUGGCUGGACUUGCUGUACUACUUUUCCCAUCAACAUUGUUGGCCUUACUGAAAAUUGAGAACAGUUCUUUCAUGGUAUUAUCGACCUCUGAGACUCGGAUAUGCCUGACUUUCUCAAGCCCCCGAGUUGAAAGUAAGUCAAGAAAAACUAUCUUUCGCAUCUCGCGCCAAUAGGGACCGUACGGUGCAAAACCAAAAGAUGCAUUGCCAAAACAAAGAGUUUCAGCAAAAACUGAUUCAGGGCGUGAGGAAAGGGCUUUGUCACUGAUGGUAAAGCAAUCUUUAACCAAUUCCCAGUUGCUCACGACAAGGGCUGGUGUCAUACCAAUGCGUAAGGCGAAGACAGGGCCGUAUUUCUCAGCCAUGGCUGCUAAGUUCCUCGCCACAGAACUUUUGGUAUUAAAGCUAAGAAAGUGGCCUAUGAUAGGCAAGCCACCUGCUGCUUCUGGUGGAUAUGGGAGCUUACUUUUUGGAAUUUGGCUCCUUGAUUUCCAUUUUCUUUGGAGUUGAAAAAAAGCAAGAACGGCUACAAUUGUCACCAGAUAUGGAAUGAAUUCCAUUUUCUGAUUUCUCCGGGAAGUAGAUGAGUGAUGUACUGCUUAGCUUCUAUCAGCUCUUUAUAUAGGGAAAUUCUAGCAGCUUCAGAGCACAAUCCCAAUAUAACGACACAGAUAUUAUAUAAUGGGGACAAUUCCAUUUACGUUUUACACUUGCUUACAUAAUGGGGACGAUUACAUGGCAUCGGCUGAUGCAGCAAUGUGGCAAAGUUCAAAACCACUUCGUUAAUUCUGAAAAUGACAGGAAUUUAAGAGUUUACUUGUGAACGCUGAGCACAAACAGCCAAUUCAAAGAGUUGAAGUAUUUCGUAUUCUUCCAUUCUCCAUUAACUACCUAUAGUUAAAUAUUCCUCAUCCAGUUCAUUUUACUAUCUUUUUUUCUCUUUCCGUGCAUUAUGAAGCGUGACAUAGUAGAGAUGUAGUAGUUCUUUAUAUACUGAAGUUAGAGCCUUCAAAUAUAUUUGGCAGUUAAUUUGAGAUUUGUGCUUUUAAUUGUUAAGAACUUCAAAAGAAGCUGCCUAAAGCGGUUAACGUGCAUUGAACAGUGUCAAAUUUCAUCUGUGAACUGUGAAGUAGUAGAGUUCAGCACUGCUUGCUCUUGAUGGACUUCGUACAGAAAAAUGAUCGCAUGUCUAUACAAAAGGAACGAAAAAUGUUGAGUUGAUUGUCAAUAAUUACAAGAACUCUAUCAGAUACCUUCCCUUUACGACAUUUACAAGCUAUUCAGGGUUCUUUUUUUUUUUUUUUUGGUACGAAAGAUAUAAUGCAUUAAAAGAGAAAUAAAAGAGUUAAGUAGCAUUUACAAUCCUCUUCUAACAGCCUACACAUAGCUGUGGGUUUACAAGACAUAGCCGGAUGUUAUUCCCAUGUUUACUAAAAAAUCUGUGCAUCUGUUGGGUUCUCUGUAGAUGUGCCUAAUAUGUGUUUGCUGGAAGUCCUGCAAGGCGCUCCUGCAAUCAAAGAUAAUAGUGGAAAAUUCACGAGUGUCAAGGUUGAGUGUUUAGAAUGUCCAAGACAACUUUUGCAUCCAACUCAAUGAUAAAAUGCGAAAUGUUAAGGGAUUUGGCUUAGGCAGAGCCCAUUCCUUAGUGCCCAUAAUUCAACAGCAAUGUUGAUAGCAGUUCCCAGGUUCCUGUAGAAUUCCCCCAUCCAUUCUCCCAUGUGAUUCCUAAUUAGGCCACCUGCUCCUGCUUUCCCUGAGUUCCUCAAGGAUAAUCCAUCAGUAUUGAGUUUGAAGAAUCCCUGGGAAGGAGCUUCCCAAUGAAUAUUGAUCUGCUGCUUCUUUCUAAUGGUGGGGCCCAUUGAUGGCCCCAUAUAUAGAAAUUCUGAUAAGGCAAAACACCAGGAAAAAAAACUAGGGUAGAUUAGGUUAUAGGACAUUUAUCGUUGCAGGAAAAAAAAAAAAAAAAACUAGGGUGUUUUUGCAGGGUUCCACUGAAUGUUUGGAUUGCUCUUUUCUUGAGAAAAAAAUUAGCAUUUUCCAUAAAAAAGUGUAUUUUUUAAUCAUUUUGUUACCUUACAACAAAUUUUUUUUUUUCUCAAAAGCUCUUGAAGAGUUGCAAUCCAAACAACCUCUAAAAUUAGUUAGUUGUGGAGGAACUUUGGUUCUUGUUAGUAUAGGAAGCAUUGAGUCAGGUGUAGCUAACUGAUCGAAAUUUAGCGAGGAAAUUUUUAUCUUUUGUUAAUGAGAUUUUUUGCAGAAUCUUUAGAGGUGGGCACUGGCUAUGCGUAGUCGAAAUUUAGCAUGGAAAUUUCUAUCUUUUGUUAAUGCGAUUUUUUGCAGGGUCAUUAGAGGUGGAAACCGACUAUGCGUAGUCGAAAUUUAGCGAGGAAAUUCCUAUCUUUUCUUAAUGAGAUUUUGUUUAAGGACAUCAGAGGUAGCACUGGCUAUGCGUAGCACAGCCGGCCUCAUCUAGGAUGGAUAUAAAUGCAUACAUUUAAUAGACUGAACUGUACACUGGUUUCUACCGUACACUUGAUUUAAUUGUUUCGAUCUGCACUCAGCUGUGAAAGCUGCUGAUAAAAUACAUUUAACACCAGUGAUUGACGUUGUAACAACAGAAUCAUAGACUAGCACGAUCAAUAUAAAUUCACUCACCCUCAGAUCUUUUAUUUUUCUUUAUAAGGGUAAUAAUGCCCCUUCAGAGAAGCAUUGUUAUCACAUUGUUAUCCGCUAAACUUGAUCUAGCACGAUCAAUGUAACUCGUAAUUUGCACGAUUAUCAAGGCGUGACGAGAAUGAUAAAGCACAUCAAGUUUUUCAAUAUACAUUGUAAUAGGCAUUAUGUGGAAAUGAGUUAGUUUUUCGUUUGUUCACCAUCCAAUUUUCAUCAAGGAUAAUAGCCAUGAUACUUGAGGCUUUGGUUAUGUAGCCUUUGCAUUUGAUGUCCGAUAGCUAAAGAAAAAGAUUCGGAACUAAUCUUUAAGUGUUAAUUGAGUCCCCAACUUCUCAGUUGUUCCUUAGCAUUCUGCUAUUCUUUACACGGAAGCCAUGGAAUAAAGCGAUUGUAGGAAUGUAGAAAUUGAUCAAUAUUCCUCAAAGUUCGUCUAGCUGAUGUUACAAGGUACCAGCACAAUUUGCACCUGGUACACUCAAGACAGAUAAUAGAAUCUGCCGAAAUAGACAGUGCAAGUACCAUCCUUCGGUUUCCUUACUUCUGUUGAACAUCAAGGCCAUAGCCAAAUAUCAUUUUGAAUGCAUUGUGUCACUUUAGAAUUAUAAAUUAUUUAGUGUUUUUGAGCAACUGGGCAAUUAGUGAACAGGUAAGAAUCGACCCCAUAAUAAACAAAUCGAAUUCGAGCACAACAUUAGCCUCGUAUAGCAAACCACUUGGAUAAGUUCUUGAAAAUUGAUAUAUCCAUUAAACAUAAUCAAUAUAAUAUAAAUGCAUUGUAUACGCUCAAAUGUAAAUAUGUACACCUUCUUUUUUUUUCCCUCAAAGUAAAUAUACAAAAAAUUAAUGUUAUUUUUUAUAAGACAAAACUAAUAUAUUUUCAUAUACUCUAAAUCAUGUACUAUUCCAAGGGAGGAGGGACGGGUUGAGCGGUACGAGAGGAAAGAGCAUAAGUAAGAGGUACUAUUCCCAAAAAAAAUAGAACUAAAUCAUUCUAGAACUCAAGUUCAAACACAAGUUUAGUUUGUUGAGUUGAACGAGUCAAAUUCAAAUUCAAACUCAAAUAUCUAAAUAAACUUAUGAAUCGAAUUUGAAUCAAACUUGAAAUUUGUGUAAUAAAAGAAUGAAUUUAAAUACCGUAUGCAAACCGAGUAUGAACAUCAAAUAAUAUGUGAAUAGCCUCUGAAUAUUAAGUGUUCAACUUAAUUUGACUCGUUAAAAGAUAUAAUCUCAGUCAUGCAAAAAAUUUUCAUCUAGUGGACCAACGUGUGCCAGUUUGCAUGAUAAACAAUGACGUAGUCCUCCCAUUAAAAAUCACGUAUUUAUAGUUUAAUUAGUGUCAACCAAGUUGUUAACCAUUUCUAUCAAUCCUUUUAUCUUCUCGUCCUGUUGACAGUUUUAAAAAGGUGGCUGAGCUUUCCUUUUUUUUUUUUUUCUUUUUAAACAAAAUAUGCACAAAAGUCUCCUACGCUGUAGACAAGGCGGGAGGGUUUUUCUAUUGUUGGUUAGAUUGGGAGGGUUUUCCUAUUGUUGGAUCGAUUGGGAGGGUUUUCUUAUUGUCGGUUUGAUCUGUUGCAAGUAAAGCGUCUUUGAAUUUUAACCCUGUUCACGUGACUAAAGAUGGGGGUAAUUUCACAAACCUUCCCUGAGGUAUCUGAUGAUUUUACUAAACUCCUUCAAAAUUUUAAAAGUUACACUUACCUCCCUUAUUCACAUAAAAUGUCAAUACUAGCCUUAACAUUUUGAUAAAAUUUCCUUGCUUGGUGUGCAUAUACAAAGAAUGGGAUUUACAAUUAUUUUCUUUUCUUUUUCUCUUCUUAUUUUUUCUUAUUAUAUUUUUUGCUAGUGAAAUCAUAGAAAACUAUAAACACUAACUCUAAAUGUUGAAUUAGUUACUUCUUUUAACAACUUUGAAUACCAUCCAAUUUUUAUUUAUUUAUUUAUUUUUUAAUCAAAAGGGACUCUAACUCAAAAAGAAAUGGUCAAAACUACUACCAAACUAUGAUAAUUCCAAUAAUUUAAAAAUUUACAAACUCUAAAAGUAGUAUGAUGAUGCUUUCUUCUCUAAUUUAGAAAAAUAUGUAUCCUGUAAAAUGUCAUUAAAAGUAUUCUAUUAUAAUGUAGAGCUAUUGUCAUAAUUGCUUAUCAAAUAAUAAAUAUGGUAUUAAAAAUUUGGCACUCUUUUCUUAUAUUUGUGCUAACAAUUGCUUUGGAAAGUAAUUAAAUUUUAUAAGCUAAGGGUAUUUUGGAGUGUUCAUUUAAAUUAUUUACCAAGUCUAAAGUAUGGUUAUCAAAAGUGUAAAAUCAAGAGAUGUAUAUAUAAGUUUUGAAUCUUCGUAGGAGCUCAGUGAAAUUGCAGAAAUUUAAAUGGAGGUUUAUGAAAUUAUCCCCUAAAGACAUGAAACGUGUGCUUCUGGGGCUUGACAUUGGUGAUUCCUCCAACUUCUUGUUUUCAUUAUAUUGCAUGCUUGACUUCGAUCCUUAGAAUAUAGGAUCAGCCCGCAAUAAUCCUAGAUGGAUCCGUUUUGAAGAAGGAUCCAUUGUUGUACUUACUUCUGACUUAACCUUAUGUCCAUUCAUCAAGUUGACUUGCAUGGUAGUCUGCUGUUAAUUGCAUGUAUUGCCAGCUUGAUUCCAAGUCAAAUGUUAGAAAUGGAUACUUAAUAAUCCAUCGGCUGAGGCUUCUAAAGUCCACGGAUCACUAAUGGUUGUCAUUUUUCAUAAGCCAACGUUGUAUUUGGGUCCACAAGAAGAAAAAGGGCUGCUGACAUUUAUCUCUGUCUUAGACUCCUUGCAGGAUGCCGUGAUUCACUUGCCAGAGAGGCGAAAAAUGCAGCAUAGUAUUACGGGAUAAUUUCACAAACCUCCCCCAAGGUUUUUGACAAUUUCACUCGGCUUCCUUCAGAUUUAAGAAACUACACUAACCUCCCUUGGUGUGAUAAUAUGACUAUAAUGUCCUUCACUUAAUAGAUAAUUCACAAUAUCAUGCAAGGGUUAAAUAAAAUCAAGAAAAAGAAACCCUACCUCUUCUAUUCUCCACUAACAGCCAUUCUUUCUUUUUUCUUUCCUCUUACUCUUGUAAGCAACGAUUCUUUUUUCAUUUCUCUUAUUGUCUCUUUGUCUUUCCUUUCCUCUUACUUUUUCUCUAUAUUCAUAUCUCUGUUUAUCUUAAUGAUGACCAAUCAUACCAUAACCAUCUCUGUUUACUUGAUGAAUAUGGUACUAGUUUACUUGCAUGAGCAGAUUUCAUUGUCAACUAAAGAGAAAUGAAUAUGCUUGUAGUGAUGAUAAAGAAAUAAAUAAUGCAAUUGAUAACUAAGAAGCAUGGAAGAAGAGAGAUUAGUGGGAAAAUUGUUGGGUUGAUUAUUGACGUGCGCGGAGUAUACACAUACAAUUAAACUCAUCCUAAUCAAGUUUUACAUUUAUAAACUCCUAAAUACCCCACACGCGAUUUAUCGCAAGUAUACGAAUCGUGAGCGAGUAUAGGGUAUUAAGGGUCGAUCCCACAAGGAAGAUUGCAAUUACCGGUACUACUAAAGUUUCUCUAUUAUUUAGACUAUCAAUGAAUUAUAACAAAUUAAAACCUACUGAAAUUAUACAAGAAAAUAACAAAUGAAAGCUCCUUAGGUUGUGGUAUCCCUAACUACUCAUGCAAGUGUUAUAUUUGGAUCAUUGAAUACUACAUCUAGGCUAAUUAUGGUGUAAUUUCCUUAUGCAUUUGAAUCCUACUUUCGUAGUGAAUCAAUUAUACUCAUAACUAAUCCAUACCUAUUUUCAUGGUUAUGAAAUUAGCUACAAGUUCAUUUCUUCAAUGAAAUUACAUGAAAUGAAUCACUAAAAACCACAUAAGUGCACCUCUACUUUCGUGAGUGUACUCCCUAUGUUUAGCACUUCUUGAACUAGUGUUAAAUCUCAAUUUUCAUUGCAGAAACAACACCUUAGAUAAUCACAAUUAAUGGUACCAGAUUAAUCAUGAUUUCAAGAGCUAAAGUGCUAAAUAACUUGCUCAAAUCAUAGCAGUCAAAUAACCAAAUAAUAAACACUAACAAUUAUAGAAAGUUCAACCAAACCCAAGGUAUAAACUUUAGAAACACAUAAUGAACACAAAAUCCAGAACUUGUAUAUUAACUAAACUUGGAAUCAAAUACAAAAGAUAAAGAGUUUGGAAGGAAUACAACCCUUGUCACAUGAGCUUUCUUCCUUGCCUUCUUCAUCCUCCAUCUUCAUCCUAAUCUAGAUAAUAAACAAGAAUGGAAAAGCUACACUACUCUAUACUAAGCUAAACUAACACUAGGGAGAUGAAAGAGCUACAUUUCUGCAACUUCCCGCUUCUCCCGUAUGUCUCUCUCUAUUUUUCUGCUAUGAACUCCAAUCUCUCUUUUUGCAAUGAAUUUGGCUAUUUAAUGAUGAAAGGUGGUCAAGAAAUGAGGAUUACAUCUCCCUUUUACAGCUGGGAAUGUUUCUCACAUGUAUAGCAUCCAAUGUGAGUUGGUGGGGGUGAAAUUGAGUUUUACGCGUACAGAGCAGCCUUUUCUGACCACAAUCCGGCCAGGAAUCCGGCCACAAAUCCGGCCAAAUUCAGGCCGGAUUGCUACAGUAAAUCUGGGCUGCUACAGUGAUCCGAGCUGCUACAGUACCUCGGAUCCGUAUGGAUCCGAGCUCGGAUCCACUAACCCAGAAACAACCGAAGGUUCGGAUGAAUAGUGGAUCCGAGUGUGGAUCACUUGCUUUGUUUUUUGCCCAACUUCAACCAAUCUUUUCUUGAUGUUAGAGGCUGAACCAGCUCAUGUCUAAAACACGAAAGUUGUAGCCUUUUGAGUUAUCUUUCUAAUGCAUCAAGAAUCACCUCAUUUGGAUCUGUGUAGGCUGAGAUAUGACUGAAAUACCCUUGCCUGCUCCAUGCCUUGUUCCAGUUUCGACCAAUAGCAAUUGACUCUGUACUUCGGCCUUUUGACCUAGAAAAUCUUCAAACUGGAUUCAGAUGUCUUCACCAAAGUUGUAGAUCUAUCUCUUAUCUUCAAAUGGGUUCAAGAAUCAUCCCAAUCCGAUCAUUGUAACUCAAGUUAUAGCCGAAAUACGAAAAUGUGUCAAAACUGUCAAAAUACACAAAAUCCAAGUAAAAAGUGAUAAAAACCUCAUUUAAUUGAACAAAAGCAUUUUAUACCAAUUAUAGCCAAAAUAAAUCAUUUUCUUCCAAUAAUAUACGCAAAGUGACUAAAAAUAAUAUAAAAUAUCAUACAAUUAUUACGUAAAUUAGUCACUUAUCAAUUAUUAUCCUGAAAACUUGUAUAGAAUGUUAACAAAUGCAUUUCAUUUUCUUUACUUGAUUAAUAUUGUUGGUUCUGGUUUUUGUUAUGGAUGGCUUUACUCUGUUUUACAAUGUUAAUACUCCCUCUGUUCCAUUUUGAUAGUUCUAGUUUUUUUUUCACACAGUUUAAGAAAAGUAGUUAAUUUUGUUGGAAAAACAAAUUUAGAUUGCUAUUUUUCUAAAAUACCCUUACAUUAAAUAAAGUUGGCUUUUCACAUAUCAAUAUGUUCUGGAAAAUCUAAAUGCAUUAAAUGGGGUAUGUUCUAUUCAAUACUAACAAUCUAUAUUAAAUAAGGUAGUUUAUAGUAAUAACAACUUAUAUUGAAUAAGGGUAUUUUAGAGAAAUUAAAAGACAACUACAUUUUUCAAUUGGAAAGUGGACUACAAUUUGGGAUAGACGAAAAAGGAAAAUAGGACUAUCAAAGUGAGAAGGAGGGAGUAUAUGUUUCUGUGGAGGUCGGAGUAUUGUUCUACUGGUGGUGGUAGGUUAGAUUAUUACUUGUUUUGCGACAGUGCAAGGUAUUGAAUUGAAGUUUAGAGUGUGAGUUUGGUUGUUGGUUGUUAAGGGAGAAUUGAUUUUUCAAAAACAUUUUGACUAGGAUGAUAUUACAAGGCAGAUGUUGGGAUUUUUGAAACUGCUAAAAUUCUUAAACUGUUCAAAUUAUUUGCUUAGUAGGUUUGUCGCAUGUUUGGAAAUAAUUAGAUUUGGCGUUGGAGUUUGAAAUGUUUGCUUGGUGGUAGUGUUGUUGCAAAUUUGGAAAAAAGUGUUGAGAAAACAAGUUUUCUUUUGUGUUUUAUAGAACAAGAGUAAUUUAGGAUAUUUGAGGAAAAAUCUAGCCUGAUGGGUCUAUCUUAUUACCUAAAUAGUAAAAGCAAGGAAACUAGGUGUAAUUUCUAAAACUUGAGGGGAGCUCUCUGUAACUGUCAAAUAUUUCAGGGAAAGUUAGUCCAAUUAUCCCUAGUAUUAUAUAAACCAAUUAUUAACACUUAGGAUGUGUUUGAUAAAAUUGAAAUCUGAAAUCUGAAAUCUGAAGUUUGAAUUCAUUAAAUUAUUAAAUUGUUAAGUAUUAAAUCUAAUACAUUUGAAUGCAUAUCACAUUCAGUGAUAAGUAAAUAUUUAUCACUUAAUUUUGGGAGCAAGUUUUGCCUUGAAAAUUCAAUGCCACUUAAUUAAUUUAGAUGUUCAAUUUUUGGUUAUCAAACGGUAUAAGUAUGUUAAGAUCUAAAUCCAUUAAAUUUAAAUGCUGAAUUGGAUUAUCAAAUAGACCUUUAGUCUUGUCUACACCAAAUAAUGAAAACUGAUUUGACAUUUUUGCAAUAAAUAUAUAAUAAAGGGCUCAAUUAGAUACGUUUGUGCGAGUGAAUAGUUAUGUCAAAUAAGUUUUUUUUUUUGUUAUUUAAAUGAAUUAUGCAAUCGUAUGAAAAUGGUAAAGGGUCAAGAAUGAGCAACUGAAAAAUUUAAAUGACUUAACAGUUUUGAAAUGAUUGAUAGUACUGGGGUUAGUAUCCAGUUGGGAAUAUAACAUUAUUUAAAUUUAGUAGGGGAAUCCUUUUUUCUGGAUUGCUUGGAACCCUCCACAUUUACAAUUAAACGUAAGAUAGAAAAUUUAGAAAGUGAGCUUGAUGUAUUGCAUAAAUAGUGUGAGAUUUAUAGUGGGCAAAUAGGUAACCGAAUAUUUGAGACAACUUGGAUCCUGUCCUAAUCAGAAUUUAAUACAACAUAAUGGAGUAUUGCCCCAUUAGCAACACACAAAAGUGCAUUGUCCUUUGUGAGAAAUUUAGGAGACUGCCUUUAAAAUCAUGGAGAUAAAAGGGGGAUUGCCUCUUUAAAGAUGGGGAAAAAGAAGAUGUGCAUUAAGACACAAAAAAUAAAAUAAAUAAAAAUAAAAAUAAAAGGAGGGUUGCCACUUUUUUUUUUAAAAAAAAAUUCUAGUAAGGAAAUGAUGGAAUUUUUUUUUAAAAAAAAAGAUGGGGCCAAGAUUUCUAAUUUUUAGAGUUUCAACCUUAGUUACUUCCCCCUUGCCUCCUCAUUAAAAAAAAAAAAAAAAAGAAAAGGAAAAUUAAAGAGGGGUUGGUUCAUCUCCUUGUAUGUUGGUUCGAGUCCCAGGUCCAGGCCGUGGCUAUUGUACACACCCAACAAGACUUUGAAGCUGCCAAUGAAUACUAAAAGUUGCAAAGUUGGACAAAUAUUUUGGUGCUUGCACGUACAUUCCUGCUUAGGAUCUAACUAUAGGGUUAUACGGUUUCCCUUCCACGCUGCAAUGGUCAGAUUGAAAAUUUAUUGAAGCCAUGACUAAAGAAUAACUAAUACAUUGCUUUUUUUUUCACAGACAAUAAAUUUCAAAUGUAGACAUCAAAACAACAGAGUGAAAACACACUACCAAUUUAUCUCUGGUUCGAAGCCUAAAACUCAAUUGAACCAUUCGAUUUUAAAUUUAUGGGGAAAUUAUAUUUUAUCCCCCUGUGAUUUAGCGUUUUUUUACAUAACCCUCCUAUAGUUUCAAAAGCUAUACAUAACCCCCUCAUAGUUUGGAUUAAAGUGUCAAAGUGACGGGAAAGAUCAUUCGUAAUGGAGUCACCUAAAAUGUCAAAAAUACCCUUAUAAAUACAUGACACAUUAACCUCGUAUGACUUUUAUAUUUUACCAUUUAAACACCUUAUGGUUUAAUACUUUACCAUAUAACCCCCUUAUGGUUUUCAAAAUAUACACAUAACCCCCCCUGGUUAAUAAAUAAUUUUCAACUUUACAUGAGGGUAUUUUUGACAUUUUAAGUGACUCUGUUACGAAUGAUCUUUCCAAUCACUUUGACACUUUAAUUCAAACUAUAAGGGGGUAAUGUAUAGCUUUUGAAAUCAUAGGGGAGUUAUGUAAAAAAAUGCUAAACUACAUGGGGGUAAAGUGGAAUUUGCCCUGAAUUUAUUCAUCUCAUUUCGUAAACUAUUUUCUACAAUCACAACUGUAAUUAUAGAGAACCCUUUCCACACAAAAUUACCACCAGGCUACGGCAAGAUAUUUGGAUGUCCUGUCACCAUGGUGUGCAAGUCUACAACACCCAACAAAGUUGCCUUUCCACAAAUGCAGUUAUGUAAGAGUCUAAUGUGCAAAUCUUUCCCCAACGAUCCUUAGAAUCAAAGGUGGAAAUUCAACGUUGUAAUAAGUUUAGAGUGCAAAUUUCCGGAAAAAAAAACUAUUAUUCCAAAGUAAUUAGAAUAGAUGAAAACAUGAAGGACAGAAAACUAUCAUUGUGAUACAAAUAAGUCUCCUAGCAGACCAAUUUGCGAGCCUUUGAACAAUCAAUUUAAUGCCCAUAAAUGAAUUAUUUCCAUGAAAUUUCCCAACUUGCCGACUAGCAAAUGUCGUUUUCUUCCAGAAAAUGCAAGCAUUCCUGCUCAUGAAUGAUGUCAGUCGUGACAAAAUAAAGUAGAAGUGCGAAAUAUUAGAUAAAUAGAAAUAAAAGCAACGGACAUUAAUCUGUUUUAGUGAGAAUUAAGAUGUGGAAGCAUGGAAAUAAAUUGCAGGAGUUAUUACUUGUCCACGCCAAAAUGACUUUUUGUAGUUUGAAUAAGAUGCGGCACCGUCAUGGAAAUUAAAGACAAAAGCGAACUUUUUGUGUUCAUAAAAAAAAAAAAACUUUUUGUGCAUUUUCUCAUGUGAUGAUUGGAACAUGGUGAAAGAAGAAAUAAGCUGUCUGCAUAAAGGUUUUAGUUGAACAACGACUUAUAUGAGAACUCAUGAUGCUAUGAUGUAGUAGGAUCAUUCGGCAGAAAGAGAGUCAUCCUCAUGAGAAGUAUCAUACAUUAGGGAAAUGCGGCAUCUUCAGUUCCAGUUUUGUCCAGUUAUGUAAAUAGAUAAAAAUUAUUACGAGUACCACAUAUUUGAUUCAAAUUUAACUUCUAACAUCACUGCAAAAUGAAAGAAAACAAUGCUAAAGUGUUGCUUAUUUUAAUUUUACUGCAAAGAACAUGUAGGCCAUAUGAGCAUAUUAUUUGCUAUUUCCAAAACAAAAAUCUUGCACUAAUUUUAUAAAAGGGUUUUGAUAGGGCAUAAAUUGUAGUACAUUUAUAUAUAUAAGUUGCUAGUUAACUAUAUUAUUUAAACUUUAUUGUGAAUGGAAACUACUUAAUUUUAUUCUUAUAUUGGUCUAAUAGGUGAAAAGUUUAAUUGAAAAGAAAACAGACUGAAAACACGGUGCGAAGAAGCAAGGGAAAAUGAAAAAGUCAAAAGAAAGGGGUUUGGCAAGAUUAACAUGUUUCUGUAUUUUGGUGAUAAUUUGAGUUAUCAAGAUCGGAUUGAAAUGAUUCUUAAUUCAUUUUAAAGCUAAAAGAAUGCUCUAUAAUUCUUAUGAGACAUUAAAGUUUGAUUCUCAUGUUUUUCAUAGCCAAAAAUCCAAAGUAUUGAAAUAUAGUUGCUCUGCAAUGCUCUUAUAUAUGACUAAUUCUAAAUAUUUUGGGUAUAUCUCAACAUUCAGAUCUCUAAUGACAUGAUUUUUAUGCCAUUGCAAAGCUAAUUCAAAAAAUUACAACUUUCAUCUUUUGAACAAGAGUUGAUUCGGCCUCGUUGAUAGAGUUACUUAUUUGAUUCAGAGGUUUUGUUGAUUUUUUUUUCUUACCUCUUUGUUUCCAUUUGCUGUUAGUUAGCGCUUAAUUGUUUUCUUUUGAUUUUGAUUACUUUUGUGAUGGUUUUGGGGUUUUCUUAUAUAUAGUUGCUUAUGCCUAUUAAAAGGGUUAGGAUACAUUUUGAUGAGAUUACAAUAUCCUCUUUAUAAUUUGGCAAACUUCUAUUGAGAUUAAAAGGUAGGGCGCAUUUUUUGCCCUUAUCAUUAACAAGUAGAUCAGUGUAACUAAACCAACUUUCAUAGACUAAAUAAUAAUUUGGACAAAUAUCAGGAAGGUACGUGACACUAACAGAAGAUUUUAAAAAGCAUAAGCUUACCUAAUUGACUUGAAGAACAAAUCCAAAUCUAACAUUAAUCGCUAUAGAAAAGAAAAGGUAAUAAAAUAACUACCAGUAAUACGAACAUAUUUAUCUUUUCAACAACAAAUCUUAUUGAAAUAAAAGUAACGGAAUACCAACUGGCAGUAAUACCAAAUGGUUACCAGUUUAUGUGGUCUAAUACAAAGUGGUGAAUUCAAUAAUUUACAAAACUAUGAAAUUUAUUUUGUAACUAGUAAAACAUAACCAUAUUUAGCCAAUUGUCCACUUGCUAUUCAUGUAAAAGCUUUAGGCACAAGCCCUGGUUCCGUUUUAACCAUCUAAAAUUAUUCAUAAAGUGCAUGAUUAGGCAGGCGUGGCUUGAUGAGCACCUCUAGUGGAGUAGUCUUGCUCAAGUGCGUACCCAAACCUUCAGUCAUGUCCACUGGUAAGUUUGAUGGGGUUGUGAAUUCAAAACCCUGCAGCAAUCGGGCAACGAUCAAGUAUAUCACCUGUGUUGCCAUUAGCAUUCCUGGACAUGAUCGUCUUCCAGAGCCAAAAGGGGUGAAGGCAUAAUCGAGGCUAUAGCCAUCGUCAUGCAUCUUUCGGGGACCAUUGCAACUAUUCAAGAAUCUCUCUGGUAAAAACUUAUCUGGUUCCGACCAAACUCUUGGGUCGCGAUGCAGUUUCCACACGUUCACCACCAAUAAAGUAUUUUUUGGAAUGAGGUAUCCGCCAACAGUACAAUCUUCGAUGGCUUGGCGUGGCACGGAUAUAGGUGGUGGAUAUAGGCGGAAUGUUUCUUUCGAAAUAGCUUGAAUGUAGGCCAAACUCUUGAUAUCUGAUUCUUCUACCCAUCUGUCUUUACCAACAUGUCUAUCUAUCUCUUCCUGCGCUUUCUUCAUGACGUGUGGAUGGUUUAGUAACAGGGACAUGAGCCAUGUUAAGUGUGUUGAUGUGCUGUCAAAUCCUGCUACGAGCAUAGUCUGCAAAGUAUAGAUAACAUGGUGAGUGGUUUCUCGGUGAAUAAAAAAAGUCCCAUGACGUAAACACAUACAUGCAAAAGCCAUCGAAACAAAUUGUUAGGUUGACAAUUGCUUUCCAUAUAUGGUGUUUUUGGAUUUAGUAAUAUGAAUGAAUUUAAAUUCCAUAUUUCGAAUCACAUCCACUGCCAUAUAUGGAUGAUCUAAAGGAGAUUUGGAGCUGAAAUCCCUCAACAAGAAGAAGAAUAGUGCCACUUAGGAAGAAAUUCCAACAAAAGCUAAACUUUUGAAAAUAAACUGUCAUGGUACUAUGAGAAAACCGAGACAAUAAGGCUGCGAGAUACAUGAAAAACAGUGUAGAAAGUUGAGAGAUAAUGAUACGGUGAAAGUGUGGCAGCUUACCAUGACAGUGGCCUUGAUCGCAGUCUCCCUCGAGUAUCCAAACACAGACUCGCUUUGGAUUUUUGAAAGCAACACAUCCAUGAAGUCUUUCUCAUCUAUUGUCUCACUCUUCAUCCUUCGCUGAGUAUGCUCAUCCCACAAAUCCUGAACAACAGCGUCAAGUUCUUUCGCAAACCCCUUCAUGGACUUAAUGUGCCCUCCUAUAUCAAGCCAUUUCAAAAAUGGAAUUGGAAUGAGAUCGGACACAAAAAAUUGCCCGGCAUAGUGUACAAAUGCCUUAAAAACUUUCCGCACUUGAGCAUCUUUAUUUGUGCCAACUUCAGUUUCAUUGUAUCUCAUCCCGGAAACUUUCUUCACAAUAAGAUUCAUUGAGAAAUUCUCAAACAGCUUCCUCAAUUCCACUUUGACUGGACUUGCUGUACUACUUUUCCCACCAACAUUGUUGGCCUUACUGAAAAUUGAGAACAGUUCUUUCAUGGUAUUAUCGACUUCUGAGAC
rnacentral:lncRNA from 1 species